rnacentral:rRNA from 1 species
GAAGAGAUAAGUGCUGAAAGCAUCUAAGCACGAAACUUGCCAAGAGAUGAGUCAUCCCUGACUUUAAGUCAGUAAGGGUUGUUGUAGACUACGACGUAGAUAGGUCUGGUGUGUAAGUGUAGUGAUACAUUGAGCUAACAGAUACUAAUUGCCCGAGAGGCUUAACUAUACAACGCUCAAG